AUUGAACGCUGGCGGCAGGCUUAAUACAUGCAAGUCGAACGAGUGGCGGACGGGUGAGUAAUGCUUGGGAACCUGGCUAAUGGAGGGGGAUAACUACGGGAAACUGUGGCAAAUACCGCGUACCAUGGGAUGGGCCCAAGUGGGAUUAGGUAGUUGGUGGGGUAAAGGCUCACCAAGACGACGAUCUCUAGCUGGUCUGAGAGGAUGACCAGCCACACUGGGACUGAGACACGGCCCAGACUCCUACGGGAGGCAGCAGUGGGGAAUAUUGCGCAAUGGGGGCAACCUGACGCAGCCAUGCCGCGUGAAUGAAGAAGGCCUUCGGGUUGUAAAGUUCUUUCGGUAGCGAGGCGUUAACUACAGAAGAAGCAACGGCUAACUCCGUGCCAGCAGCCGCGGUAAUAC
rnacentral:rRNA from 1 species